GGACUGUGAAGGUGAUCUGGCUGUAACAUCUGCCACCCAUUGAUCACCAGGGUUGAUUUGGCUUAUCUGCUUAGUUAGGCAUUCAUUCCCUUCCUCCCUCUAUUCUCCAUGUGUGACCCUCCUGAAGCUGAACACUUGAUGAAAAAGGACGAUCACCUUUGAUAGAAGAGGACGUUCUUCAGUCAAGGUUAUAUAAGUAGCUAUGCUUUCCCACUAGAAUCUCCAAACAAGCUCCCAAAAUGUUCUGAAGAACAUUUCAGAAAGAGAUAAAGAAGACUGCAUUCCCAAAAACAUCAGU
rnacentral:snRNA from 1 species